rnacentral:rRNA from 1 species
CCUACGGGGGGCAGCAGUGAGGAAUAUUGGUCAAUGGGCGCGAGCCUGAACCAGCCAAGUCGCGUGAGGGAUGACGGUCCUACGGAUUGUAAACCUCUUUUGCCGGGGAGCAAGCGUUCGUUCGUGAACGCACGUCGAUAGUACCCGGAGACAAAGCAUCGGCUAACUCCGUGCCAGCAGCCGCGGUAAUACGGAGGAUGCGAGCGUUAUCGGGAUUUAUUGGGUUUACGGGGUGCGUAGGCGGGAUGCCAAGUCAGCGGUAAAAAUGCGGUGCUCAACGCCGGCGAGCCGUUGAAACUGGCGUGCUUGAGUGGGGGAGAAGUAGGCGGAAUGCGUGGUGUAGCGGUGAAAUGCAUAGAGAUCACGCAGAACUCCGAUUGCGAAGGCAGCAUACCGGAGCCCGACUGACGCUGAGGCACGAAAGCGUGGGUAUCGAACAGGAUUAGAUACCCCAGUAGUC